UACGUAUGGAGCAAGCGUUAUCCGGAUUUACUGGGUGUAAAGGGAGCGCAGGCGGCUUUGCAAGUCUGAUGUGAAAGGCCGGGGCUCAACCCCGGGACUGCAUUGGAAACUGUAAAGCUAGAGUGCCGGAGAGGUAAGCGGAAUUCCUAGUGUAGCGGUGAAAUGCGUGGAUAUUAGGAGGAGCACCAGUGGCGAAGGCGGCUUACUGGACGGCAACUGACGCUGAGGCUCGAAAGCGUGGGGAGCAAACAGG
rnacentral:rRNA from 1 species